ensembl:lncRNA
GUUACAGACAGACAGAUGUCUAGCUGGUUUAGGUUUCUGAUUGAGGUAAUGAAGAGAGGAACUGUGGGUUGAGGUAGAAGAGAGGAACUGUGGGUUGAGGUAGAAGAGAGGAACUGUGGGUUGAGGUAAUGAAGAGAUGAACUGUGGGUUGAGGUAUAAGAGAUGGACUGUGGGUUGAGGUAUAAGAGAUGAACUGUGGGUUGAGGUAUAAGAGAGGAACUGUGGGUUGAGGUAUAAGAGAGGAACUGUGGGUUGAGGUAUAAGAGAGGAACUGUGGGUUGAGGUAUAAGAGAGGGACUGUGGGUGGAGGUAUAAGAGAUGGACUGUGGAUUGAGGUAUAAGAGAUGGACUGUGGAUUGAGGUAUAAGAGAUGGACUGUGGAUUGAGGUAUAAGAGAUGGACUGUGGAUUGAGGUAUAAGAGAUGGACUGUGGGUUGAGGUAUAAGAGAUGGACUGUGGGUUGAGGUAUAAGAGAGGAACUGUGGGUUGAGGUAUAAGAGAUGGACUGUGGGUUGAGGUAUAAGAGAUGGACUGUGGGUUGAGGUAUAAGAGAUGGACUGUGGGUUGAGGUAUAAGAGAGGAACUGUGGGUUGAGGUAUAAGAGAGGAACUGUGGGUUGAGGUACAAGAG